rnacentral:tRNA from 1 species
GGCAGCAUAGCUCAAGUGGUAGAGCACCUGCUUAGCAAGACAAGGUCCUGAGUUCAAACCCCAGUGCCACCA